UGGAGCAGCUUGGUAGCUCGUCGGGCUCAUAACCCGAAGGUCGUCGGUUCAAAUCCGGCCCCCGCAACCA
rnacentral:tRNA from 3 species